rnacentral:misc_RNA from 1 species
GAUGAAGAACGUAGUGAAAUGCGAUAAGUAAUGUGAAUUGCAGAAUUCAGUGAAUCAUCGAAUCUUUGAACGCACAUUGCGCCCGCCAGUAUUCUGGCGGGCAUGCCUGUCUGAGCGUCAUUUCAACCCUCAUGCCCCUAGGGCGUGGUGUUGGGGAUCGGCCAAAGCCCGCGAGGGACGGCCGGCCCCUAAAUCUAGUGGCGGACCCGUCGUGGCCUCCUCUGCGAAGUAGUGAUAUUCCGCAUCGGAGAGCGACGAGCCCCUGCCGUUAAACCCCCAACUUUCCGAGGUUGACCUCAGAUCAGGUAGGAAUACCCGCUGAACUUAAGCAUAUCAAUAAGCGGAGGA